rnacentral:rRNA from 1 species
GACGAACGCUGGCGGCGUGCCUAAUACAUGCAAGUCGAACGGGAGCAACCGGUGCUUGCACUGGUCAAUCUAGUGGCGAACGGGUGAGUAACACGUGGGUAACCUGCCCAUCAGAGGGGGAUAACAUCCGGAAACCGAUGCUAAAACCGCAUAGGUCUUCGAACCGCAUGGUUUUAAGAGGAAAAGAGGCGCAAGCUUCUCCUGAUGGAUGGACCCGCGGUGCAUUAGCUAGUUGGUGAGGUAACGGCUCACCAAGGCCGUGAUGCAUAGCCGGCCUGAGAGGGUGAUCGGCCACAUUGGAACUGAGACACGGCCCAAACUCCUACGGGAGGCAGCAGUAGGGAAUCUUCCGCAAUGGACGAAAGUCUGACGGAGCAACGCCGCGUGAGUGAAGAAGGUUUUCGGAUCGUAAAACUCUGUUGUUAGAGAAGAACAAGUGCUAGAGUAACUGUUAGCGCCUUGACGGUAUCUAACCAGAAAGCCACGGCUAACUACGUG